rnacentral:lncRNA from 1 species
UUCAGACUUCUAAACUGUUCAGGUCUUAACACUCAUUUUUAUCAAACACCACCCAAGUCAAUAAGGUAUAGAUGUUAGCAUUCACUUACAAUAACAGUUCUAGAAAUAAGAGCAGCCUCAAUCAUGGUAGAUUAAUGAUUAAUACACCCAGAUAAAUGCAUUCAUGCUGUGAUAUCCAUAUUAAAACACAAAUUCUACUGUUUCUGAACAGGCCUUCUUGUACUUCAUAACAAAUGAAAGAAAAUAUAAUUCUCACCAUCAACAGACAUGUAACUGUGAGGAACAGAAGGAUAUGAUAAAUGCAACUUCCAAAAAAUGCAGCUUGAAUUAGGUUGUAUAUAUUGCAGUUCGCCUCUUGAAGCUUACUAUGAGAAACAUUCAAAAUCUAGUCCGAUGCAAGAUUGAUAGCAUUCCAGAAGUUGAUGAUCUUAUGGGAGGCAUUGGUUUGCUGAAUACUUUUUUGGGGAGGACAUCUCCUGGGAAUCUUUUCGAGCUUAAAAGUAAGUUAAAGAGUCUGGAUGGGAAAAUAAAAGAAUUAUCAAAUGUUUUUCAAAACCCUGGCCCUUUACAUGAUAUUAUUGUAUGUUGGAUAGAUCAACAUGAAUCACAAAGUGGAGAAGGUUUCAAGCGCCUUCAACUACUCAUUAUUGAACUAACACGGUCUGGGAUUUUCUACCCUCAAGCAUAUGUGAGGCAAUUGAUUGUUAGUGGAAUUAUGGAUCGGGAUGGCCCUCUAGCUGAUCUGGACAGAAGGAAGAGACAUUGUAAAAUCUUAAAGCAGCUCCCUGGUCCUUAUAUUUGUGAUGCUUUAGAAGAAGCACAAGUCAUAGAGGUGGCAAUGCUUGCAGAAGCCAUGCAUGUUUACUCAAAUGAACGUCGACUUGUGCUUCGUGGGCUUAUUGAUAAUCAAAAAAGCAUAAACAGAACAAAUAUUUUGUCUCAGAAACAAAAGAAUCGCCUAAACUUUGUCUGGGAUAGUUCUUCAUUGUCGCCCGUAGAUCUGUGGAAAAGUGUGCCAUCAGAAACAACUGUAUUAGGUUGUAUUACCUUUCCUAGUUGUUCAAAAAAUCCAUAUUGACAACUCUGAAAGAAGUCUUCACCUGAUUUAUUCUCAAAAGAUUAACACCAAAAUUUCACUACUGGGAAUUUUGGCUUUUGAAACAUACAAUUUGAUUGUUUUCAGUCCUAAAAAAACAUACAAUUUGAUUGGUAAUGGUCAAAAAUUACCUGCACCUAAUAGUCAGUCCUAAAAAAAAAACAAAGUCAUUUGAGAAUAAAAACUUCAAAAGGUAGAAAACCAAAAAUAUGACAACUUCAAAUCAACUAAUUAACAGACCCAUAUCAAAAAUGAACAGAAAUCAAUAAGCAAGAAUUGACCCAUCAAUACCCGUAUAAUCCAAAUACUCAAAAAGAGUUCUCGGUUCUCAGAAUUGACCCAUCAACCACAGCGAAACAUCACAGAAAAAUUAGAAGGAAAAAGACACAUACCAAAUACAGCCUAAAUCGCGAAUCUUAGAGAAGCUUUAGUUGAGAAGAGAGAUUCUUAGAGAAGCUAGGGCACAGCGAACUAUUAUGCGAUUCUCAGGGCUUGCAGAUUAGGAGAGAAUCGCGACCCAUUUGGAGAGAAUCACUGAGAAUCGCAACCCAUUUGGAGAGCAGUGGGAAACUAGGGCUUGCAGAUUCGCGAGAGAGGGUAGGAGAGAAUGGCGAAGUUCAGAUUUGGGUUUUUUAAAAAAGACGCGGAAGGUUGGCUAAG